UAGGAGCUGGUGGGAUUGGACGGUGGGUACACAAUGGUACUGUAGUUUUACCCGAAAUGCCCUUCUAGUACUACUCGGGCUGUGCCCUCGCUCGUGGACGAUGGACCGGCGGCGAGCUUGUCCGGUGAGGGGCGGCAAGCUUCCGCCUGACCACUCGAGCUUGACUCCACCACAAGGACUGGCUCGAGACUCCUUGGUCCACCCCGCGCCGGAUCUUGAAGCUAUGGCGCGCGUCGGCGUCGAGAAGGAGUGAGAGGAGUGGGAGUAGGAAGGUGAGCAGCGACAUGGUGCGUGGGUCAGCGCGGGAAGGGUCCACGGCCACCAAAUCCGGCAGCCCUCCGCCUCCUAGGCGAUAGAUCGGACGGCCCUGUUCCUCCUAGCGCUGGAUAAUUCGUGUGGAUGUCCAUGGCGAUGUGAUGUCGCCAGCGCAGCGUAGCUGCUAGUCUCGAUCCAUGUCUCAGCGAGGUAGGGAGGAGGCACUGGGUUGACGAGGACCGAGGACAGCGCAGCCCGGCGGUGGCUGCUUCCGCUGCCCCCAAGUAAGCGCUGAAGCUGAUGAUCUGGGCAUCCGGCAGAUAAAGCUGUUGCGGAACCAGCGGUGCGCACAUAAUUUCGGAAUCGCAUCCCCCAUGAGAGUAGGCCGACAUGGAGGAUUUCUGCAGCUACCUCAUCCUUCGCCACUGCAUGUUCCUCCCGAUCUCUCUCUCCCCUCUCUCUGGCGAGGAAACAGUCAUGGAAGGUCCUGCCUUGAUGUGAAAAAUUAUUUGGUUGAUCUUGAGAAAAAAAAAUCCCAGUUCAUGUGCAUGCUCUUUGUAUUUCGCUUGCUGCAUUUUUUUUAGUGAAUUGAACUUUGAGCCACCUUUGAUUACCAUUGUUACAAUUUGGACUAGGCUAAAGCUAAAUUUUUCAAUUUGGGCAAAGUAUCUUUACAUGAUGUUUCAAUUUGGACUCCCUUCUUCUUCCUCCAACUCUCUUCCCCCAAUCUCCCCUUCAAUCUGUAAAAUCUUCCAAAGAAUUCAAAGGGUAGUUUGCAUUUUCAAUCUCGACUACCUAGUGCUUGUGGCUUAAUUUCAAGGACAGCGGAAGGUGCACAACAAGUAUUCCUACUGGUAGCAACUAGCAUACGAAGAAGCUGGCCGGCAAUGGCAGACAGUUGCUGCUACUUUCUGAACUGACGAUAAGAACUAAGUCAAGUAGCAGAUAGCCACGCUCUCAAGCUCAUGCUCGACCUCAGCUAGUGCUACAUGUUAUGCUGCACGCCUGCGCUAAAUUUCCACAUGUGUCGCUCGAGCUUCAACAAGUUUUGCAGCGCUCAAGCUCCGCCUUCGUAGUGCCGCCUGCAUUUGAGCUCGAAAUCAACUUCGGCGGGUGGCUACCCUGUGAAAGGUUUUGCUUCUUGCCUUUUCAUGCACUGCACCUGAUCGAGAAAGAGACCUUGAGCUGUACGGAGAAAAGAGAGGAAGAAAGGGAGUUGGAGGAAGAAGAAGAGAGUCUAAAUUGAAACAUUGUGUAAACAUACCCGGUUCAAAGUGAAAAGUUUACUUUUUCACUGGUCUAAGUUACAGUACAGGUAAGAAAAAAUAGCCCAAGAUGCAAUUUACUGUUUUUUUUCUUUCCAGUUCCAGUUCUCGAAGGCUAGCUGUUGGCCUGUUGCUGGGUGCUACUGCUACCUUCUUCUCAUGUUUCUCGAGAAGGUUAUUGCCUUCCUUAUGUUCCGUUCUAUAAUAUAUCUUCCGGUUAUUUUGAUUUCA